rnacentral:rRNA from 1 species
GCAGAGGAUCCACCUGUUCCCAUUCCGAACACAGAAGUUAAGCUCUGCGUUGCCGAAAGUACUUAGCGGGCCACCGCUCGGGAGGAUAGGGAGUUGCCG